CCUACGGGAGGCAGCAGUGGGGAAUUUUGGACAAUGGGCGCAAGCCUGAUCCAGCAAUGCCGCGUGAGUGAAGAAGGCCUUCGGGUUGUAAAGCUCUUUUGUCAGGGAAGAAACGGUCUACUCUAAUACAGUGGGCUAAUGACGGUACCUGAAGAAUAAGCACCGGCUAACUACGUGCCAGCAGCCGCGGUAAUACGUAGGGUGCAAGCGUUAAUCGGAAUUACUGGGCGUAAAGCGUGCGCAGGCGGUUAUAUAAGUCAGAUGUGAAAUCCCCGGGCUCAACCUGGGAACUGCAUUUGAGACUGUAUGGCUAGAGUGUGUCAGAGGGGGGGUAGAAUUCCACGUGUAGCAGUGAAAUGCGUAGAUAUGUGGAGGAAUACCGAUGGCGAAGGCAGCCCCCUGGGAUAACACUGACGCUCAUGCACGAAAGCGUGGGGAGCAAACAGGAUUAGAUACCCUGGUAGUCCACGCCCUAAACGAUGUCUACUAGUUGUCGGGACUUAAUUGUCUUGGUAACGCAGCUAACGCGUGAAGUAGACCGCCUGGGGAGUACGGUCGCAAGNUUAAAACUCAAAGGAUUGACGG
rnacentral:rRNA from 1 species